UAAGCCAACAGUCAGCCUGCAUUUUGUCAGCAUGUUCUUCUGCUCAGCCUUGUCUGAACUUUAUGUUCAAGGGGAGAGAAAAUGAGAAUAUCAGAGUUUAUGUCAAGCGGCGACGGUAUCCUCAUUCAUCUGCAAUCCUCUCUCUUGGUGCAGGGCAAUUACAAAAACACAGCACACGCCAAAUUUUCUGAGGGAAAAGGUUAUUUUCAGGGAAUGAAGAUAGACUUUCCACUUGACCCGUGUGCAAUGAAAGAGCAUAACAAUGGAACAGGAUUUCUCUUUUCCUGUGGUUUCUGACAUUUAGCAGAGUGGUCUUUUGACUGAAUGACUGGGGGAAAAAAGAGGCGUCUUUUUCUGGUCAAGGAGGACAUUGAUGAAUUGCUGCAAGGCGAGCCGGAGAGGCACAAUUAAGAUUCCAUCAGGAUAAAGCAUCCCUCCAUUCUUACCUCCUUCAGAGCAUCUGCCCAGUGCCCACAUUCUUGGGCGCACAUGGUGUCCAGCAGCUGCCAGGUCAGCAGAGGUGCUGGAGCGCAGAUUGCCAGGCGCUGGCCUCCUACCCAAGGCGAGCUGCCAGUUGUGGACACAGAGGCAGCAGGGAGGCGCUUCAGAGGGUCGGGGAUUCAACAGACUUUAUGCAACGCGGUGUGCUGCCUGUGUUCUCCAGUACUUCCACCAAUGAUCACAAGUGAGGCAAAGCAUGCGGAGAUGAAUCGCCAGAUAUCAGUCUAUACAUGGAUGGCGAUUGCCAAACGAGUAUCGGAUUGCCGGAUUGGAAUCAUUCAAUUAACAUUAGAAUUUAAAUUUGCCAUUUUAGCGACCCUGGAGACAGUGACGGAGGCACUGAACCUGCAAAUCUCAGAAGCAUUUAGCAUUCCAUUUCCAUUCAAGCGUGCCAAAUUUCCAUUGAGCAUACAAAACUCUUAUAUUCAUAUUAGUCUUAUUAGUCUUAUAUUUUCUGCUUGCUCUACAUUUAAUUCUCAGGGGGACGGCUCUGGCCAGGACACAGGGAGACCUAUAUAUGGCAGAUUUUUUUUUUUACCAGUAUACAAAGGAGAGCAGGGGGAGGACAGGCUAGGCCCCAGAUGGACAGUGUGUAAUGUUGUUAGCUAUAGUUAGCCAAUCUAGUCACACUGCCAGCAGCUCUCAUUACAUGAUCUAAUUCUCCCUCUCUAUCUCGCUUUCCCUCCCAUUUCGCCAGCACACACACACCCACACAGGCCAGAGAGGAUGGAGGGAGUGCCAGGAGGUGGAAGACAGACAGACCUGUGUGUGCGUGUGUGUGUGUGUGUGUGUGUGUGUGUGUGUGUGUGUGUGUGGAUGCAGGCGGAGGUGGUGGAGCUGCAGCAGCACCGUGAUGUGUUCAGGAGGUUAUGCAGGGCCUCCUCACUCAGGAACUUGUAGUUUUCCAACAGGAGAGAGGCAUCAAAAUUGAAUGAAGAUAUUAAUAAUUCAGCGACAGAUUUCUCAAAGAAAACAGGUUUUCCGAGACGAUAAAGCAAAAAUCAAUGCCGCCUCUCCACUCUCUGUCUCUCGCUCAUACUCCCCAUCUCUUCAUGCAUGUGUGGAGGAGAAAGGAAGAGGGGGUGGAGGAGUGGAUCAGCGUAUGCGGCUCUCUGCCCCUUUGUUUGCGCCCGGCGUGUGGGAGCCUCUGUUGGUGUGCCUCUGUCUGUGUUCUAGCAGGGUGGACAUCAGCUUCGUGCCCGCCGGCCUGCACUGUUACUCAGUGAAUUCCCUGGAGGCAGGAGCGCUGCUUCAGCCUCGCCACCUCCAGAGUGGGUCAGUGGAGAGGAGACACCACGCUGAGGGAGGUGCAAAUCUCAGCGGGGCCGGAGGAAAAAAAAAAACAGGCAGACAUGCACAAGCCCAUGUAAGCACACACCCAUGUGAGCGCACACAGUCAACAAAAGCCCUCGCUGUGAGACAAACAGGCUGCUCAUGCCUUCGAACAAAGCUGUUCCCUAGACGUGGUUGUGUGUCCAUUGUGAGGUCAACCAGCAUACAUGAGCUAAUUAUCACCUCUGUAUGAAGCUGUCUGGAGAGGAGCAGGUACACACCCAAUGCACUCGUGUGUGUGUGUGUGUGUGUGUGUGUGUGUCUGU